GAAAAACUGAAGAUGUUUUUCAAUGGCAAUAGCCAGUAAUCCAUAAUAGUAUCAAAUGAUAAAUGAUUAUGUGCCUUCAUGUAGUAGGCAACAUAGGACAUUUGGGUAACUGUACAUAGUACUGUUUGUAUUCCAAGCAAGUCAUUGCUCCUGACUCCAAACAACUUACACGACCUGUUGUGUCUGGGUCACCCCCUAUGGGACAUAGAUCCCUCUCCUCAUCAGCCUAGUGUCUAGUCUAGAAUUAUCACCAAUUACUGAAAAGUUACAAAAAUGCCCUUGCAUAAAAUACUAGUGCCCUGUCCAUGGCUGUAGAAAUGACUGUGCUUAGAACUUGUGUACCCCUUGUGUAAUUCAUGUUUUCCCAAUAAUAUGGUUCAUUUGUUAAAAAAAAUGACCUUGCGUAAAAUACCAUUUUCAUGACUGUAGAAAAAACAUGACUGUGUUUAGAACGUGUGUACCCCUUGUGUAACCCAUGUUUCCCAAAUUAUAUGGUUCAUUUGUCAGGACAUACAGAUGUCAAACCCACCAGAAAAGGCCUGUACAGAGCUGACAGCUGUGGGAGGUACAGUUACUGUAGACACAUGAGAAGAGGCACAUGUUGCCUCCUUAAUUUGUCAUGCCGACUGCUUCGGCUCCGGGCUUCGCUUCGGGCGGGCGGCCCGACCGCGUUCCCUCGACGGCGACACCUUGGCUCAUCCUUAGUUUUCAAAGUAACCUAAAUGUUUCGCGGUCCGUCCGCCUCGGACAGAUUUUCCUACAGCAUCCAAGCAACUGAUUUCCCGCGAAGAAGUUUGGGUCGUAAAGGAGGGGCAUAUCAUCGCCAGCGCCGUGAUGACUCUUACAUUUGCCAAAACUCGAGAUGGCUGCAAGACAGACUUCUACACCCUGCUCUUGAAAGAGAAGAUCUCCAAAAGGGACUUCGAGUUGCCACUCAUAUUAAGAAAUGACAAGACAAGAUGGGCGGAAAUCGCGUCCAAGUAGCUCAAUAACACAGAGUGAUCAACAGAACGCAUUCCUUAACAAGCUGCAGCAGCAGCAGGCCGUUCGCGAAAGAGAUGGCAGAGAGUUUCCAGCGAAUGGACCAACGAUUGCAAAAAAUGGAGAGCGACAGGAAAGAAGAAAAGAGGCGAGAGGAUGGAAACCAAGAGAAGAAUCCGAAGGAACUGUAAAUAUACAGCUCAGAAGUCCUGCCCUCCAUGGUACCAAGCUGCAAACAAAGGUGGUGGAGCCGUGGUCCCUUGUAAGCUGCACCUGCAGGUGAGGAGCAGGGAGACAGCUGUGGAGGUGCUGAGAGCUGGGUUCGAGAGCGACCUCGGUCGGAGAAGGACGUCCUGACCAUCCUAUAGGUUAACGUAACGCCGGCCAUGACUAAUAAAGACUUCAAGAAAAUAAAUGUUUCGAUUGCAUCCUUUAACUAAACGUCAUGGCAAGUAAUGGCACUUCAAAGACAUAUAUGUUUUGAGUGAACAGUCUUUCCGUUUCCUAGAAUUGUGACUGAUUCUAACGUUACCUACUGGAUUAUGCAUUUUCCAGUUUUUAAAACGUUGUCAUUACGCAAGUUUCACGUGCAAUAAAAUCCAAAGUUACGACAGUUCUAUGACGGAAUAUAAUGCCCUAGCAAACAUCAUACCACAUAAAACUACUUAAAAUGAGGUCCGAAAAAAGAUGAUUUCUCAGUUUUACUAAUUCUACUUUUACUUUUAAUUUUGCAUUCUCAGCAACGGUAAACAUGGCGGUACAGCGUAUACAACCCUAUCCCUACUCCAAAGCAGCAGAAGAUCGGCGGUUUACGUAUGUAUGCGUAAAAAUCAAUCGUAAAAUCACUUAAACGUUGAUCUGCUAUGAUAAAUACUAGGCUGAGAACUUGAAUUCUCGGUCAACCUAGCAGAGUUGCGGGAAUUCGAAGGUUCGUCAUCUUGGAUGUGUGGUGAAAUUUUGGGGUCAAGAUAACUACGCCUGUGUUUAGGCAAACAGCUUAUAGGUCAUACAUUGGCAGUAGCUAAAAUUAGCCAUUUGGAAGGAAAUGAUUAAUGGGAUGAUAGAAUGGAAUACAGGUUGAAUUUAUCUGCUAAUCACUAUAAAUUACUUCCCACUAGUACAGAGAAGAGAUUGCAGCUCUAACUCUAAAGUCUUUACUUUAAGUUAAAUGUGCACCUUACCAGUAAAUAUGUCUCAACUCUGAAAACACUUCUCAUUGUGACAUGCGACAUGGCAUUUCCCAACCCCAAUUUCCAAAUCAUAUCAUUCAAUCAUAUCUGUUUUGUUAAAAACGUCCAACCAAAUUUUGUGUAUUUUAGAAACAGGCUAAAUAACAUAAUUAGAAAUAGACAACAAUCUUUGUAACCUCAUGAACAGAACUUGAUGAUAUUUACUUUUUAGGUAUUACUAUGUUUGUAAACUUUAUAUUGAACUGUCUCUACACUGGUAGUGAAUGUUAAUAAAGUUGUAAAAAAAGUACUACCAACAUUUAAUGGAAAUGUUUGAGGAGAUAGGAAAGGUGACAGACACAACAGCAAUAAAUUGCAGUUUUGUGAAUAUUUCUGGAUGGAUGGAUAUCUUUGUGGAUACCACAACCACACCGAGCCUCGAGCCUUCCUACUCUAACUAGGGCCUGAUGGGAGAUCUGUUCCCCAGUCCUACAGAAUGCACUCAAACCGACACAAAGACUGGACCAUCCUACCCAACUUUUUGAAGAACGAGCCCCAAGUCACAUCCAUACCAAAGGAACAGACAAAGUUAUAUAUGCUUUUUUUCUUUUCCCGUUAAACUUUCCGAUUGUUGACAUCACAAAGUAAUAAAGUUUGCAUAUUUGUCAUCAAAUUUAAUCCCGAGUGUUUACACUUUGUUUACAGAUCUUUGAAUCUGACUUUGGCCACCAGGAUUUAUAACAACUGAGAACGGAUUUUGAAAAAUGUAUCGCUAAAUUAUAAAUAGAUGACCCAGAGAACAUUCACAAAUGGAGGCGAUUUUUCCAAGGACGCCAGGCGUUAGAAGAAAAAUGGUCUUGGAAGCAGCAGCCAAGAACAACAUGGCAACUGAAGCACUUGGAGGUAAAAUCUGAUGUUUUUAAUUAAACAUGUCAAACUGUUACACUUUCAUCAUGCAGACUCUAGUAGGUAAUUGUCUAUCUUGUUUUUUCUUAAAGCAUAAACUUAAAGCAUUUCUGUCAAAUUUGAGAGAACAUCCAUCCCUGAAGCUAGCCUCUCAUCUUCAACUGAGUCUAGUGAGGAAAUAGGUGUUAUAAAGUGACUUAAUAAAGGGCACAACAUUGGAGCCUGCUAGAGAUUUGAAUCCAGAACCUUUAUACCGGUAUUAUGAUCAUUAUUCAAUCUUUUUGGAGACUUUCAAGACAAAAGCGGCAACUAUGCCUGGAAGCACCCCGACUCCGCCACUCAGAGGCUGAUUCGCAACCUGCGAAACAGUGGCACCAGGGGGAAAUGAGUAGGCUGGAACAAUACAGUAGUUCAAGGACUUCCUGCAUCUGAAAGUCAAACAGCGGAUUGAAGAAGGAGUUCAAGAAGAAGACUUGGUGCCAGCCUUUGCCAAAUUAAAGGCGUUCCGAGCAAACAGAUUCAAUAUUCUGUUUGAGUGUGCGUCUGACCUCUACCUCCACAGGAAAGAUAUACAAGGCAUGUUCCAGGACGGGUAUGUUAAAGGCAGCAAAUAAGCUUCUGCGCGCAGUCCUAGCUGACAGCAGUCCUAGUUCAUGCUCGGAAUCCAAACAAACUAACAGCUAGAAAUGAUGACUGACGCAGAUAUCAACAACAACAUUGUCCUACGGAACCGUACAUUUUGUGCAAACAAAACUGGAGCGUGUAACUCAUGCGGUGAUGAACUAAAAUCUGUACAAACAUCUACAAGUCAAUCAAAUGCAUUGACUGUUUGAUUUCAAUUUCAGACAGGCUAAAAGAGGCCCUUGUUAGCCUCAAUCCAGAAAGCAGGGCUCAGUUGCUAAAAGGCCAAAGAUAACGCCAAUGGAGUGCCAGCUGGAUUGCUUUGACCUGAAGGACGUAGCUGAGGAUAUCAAAACUUCAUAUGUCCCAUUGAAAUCAGGUUAAAGUCUAGUACCUCGACAUGUACUUAAUCACACACACAAAUGAUUUUCAAGCAGUAACUAUUUUUUGGUCCUAGUUGUGACUUAAUUUUGGUUUUUGCAUGUUGUAGGUUAAGCAGGUAAUACAAUCAUUGCAAUCGUUAAUGUGAUGUGGAAAUUGUCAUGUGUCGGGAAGACUUGAUAGAAUAUAUGAGAUAACGCUUGAGAGACAUAAAUUGGCUGAAGCCUUAUUAUGCUCAGAUUGAAUGCACAUAAUGUGUGCACAUGUGCUCAACUACCGCUGGGGGCGUCAUCAUCUUCGCUCCGACAUGCCGUCAUCGGCCGGCGCAAGUCAUCAGUCCUCCGUCAAUCCUGACGUCCUUACUGAGAGUCUGUCAUCCGCGUACGUGUGACUGCACUUCAAUAUCUGUAUCCAAUUGCGACAACGUCACGGCCUACCUGACGUCAACUGUCUGCCCGUACGCCACCGUGACAGCCAACUCACCGCUGCCAGUAACACCUCCACCUGACGUCAACCACCUGCCUGUUGUGUGUGUUUCCUGCCUAUGGUGAACGCAAACCCCUAUGGACUUCAGGCACGCGUCAUGUCUUGACCUCCUUUGUGCUAACGAACGACCUGAGUGGACGGUUACGGUUUGUGAGUGACAGAGGUUUCUGCAGUUCGAUGUUUCUUGGUUCCUCCUUUCCAAUCAACGCCUUCUGCGCAUGGACCAAAACGCAG